rnacentral:rRNA from 1 species
UACGAAGGGGGCUAGCGUUGCUCGGAAUCACUGGGCGUAAAGCGCACGUAGGCGGCUUUCUAAGUCAGGGGUGAAAUCCUGGAGCUCAACUCCAGAACUGCCUUUGAUACUGGAGAGCUCGAGUCCGGAAGAGGUGAGUGGAACUCCGAGUGUAGAGGUGAAAUUCGUAGAUAUUCGGAAGAACACCAGUGGCGAAGGCGGCUCACUGGCCGGUACUGACGCUGAUUGUGCGAAAGCGUGGGGAGCAAACAGGG